rnacentral:tRNA from 1 species
GCCGCCUUAGCUCAGUUGGUUAGAGCGCUAGAUUGUGGAUCUAGAGGUCGCCCGUUCGAACCGGGCAGGCGGUACCA